AUUGUCAUAUUGACAUUUUGGCACUAAGGUUUACAUCUUGUGGAAACCGCAUGGGUUGUAGAAAAUAAUAAUAUUAUUGAGUUACAAUUUUCAAGUAAACAUGGGUAAAAAUAAAAAUAAAAAGAGAGGUCCAGCAGCCAAUGUAUUUAAGGUAGCUGGAGCAAAAAGUCUUAAGAAAACAAAGGCUAAACCUGUUAAUUUAGGCCUAAAAAAUAUUAAACAAAAGGUGUCGGACAUUGACAAAGAGUUUGUGGAGAUUACCAAGAACCCUAAACCAAGUCAACCUAAGAAUGAAGUCAAAGGACCAACCAAAAAAAUUGAGAACCCCGUUUCUAAGGAAGAGAUGACGGACACUGCAGAACAGAUAAAUAAAAUGGAUUUAUAACCUUAAUUGUUUAUUUAGUUUUAAGCAAAUGAAAUGGUAUAUAUAUGGUAUAAUUUUAUUAUUAUAAAAGCAUAUACAUAUUUAUUGAUACAAUCAGAUCAGGCAGUCAGCUAUCCGUUUAUUUAAUGAUUUCUUGUGUUAAUGGAAUGUUAAAUAUUGAAAUGAAGCUAUUUUUCACAUGUUA